AUCCCAAUUUACGAUUUACGCAAUGAGGCUGAUUUUUGCUAAUCAAUGUUGGGAGCACUUUUUGAUUUCGUUUAGGCUAGCUGGUUGUCUGGCAUUUUAUCUGUUAAAUUUUCAAUAGAAAUUUUUUUUUUUUUUGAAUUAUUGAUAAAAAAAGCCUUUGCUACAAGACAUUUGCAAGCUGUAUUUGAAGAAUUUCCAAUAGAUCUGCGUCUCCGAGGCAUACGAGGUGUGUCUCUAAAGCAACCGAAGUUAAAUAAAAGAAGAAAUGUAGUAAGCGUGUCGCUGUUUGUCUGCAGCAAAGUAAAAUCUGCGUUGCUACCUUUUUCAUGUAAUUUUUCCGAUUCUAACAGAAGCUGAAUCAGAAGGCCAGAUAGUAAUUUCGUAAUUAAAAAAAAAAAAACGACUUCAAUGCUCAUAUAAUAUUAGGAUUACCGUUAGUUUCUUCAUGAUCCAAUGACCCCGAACUAUUAGAGAUGGGUGCGGGACUAAGUAUUCAACACCGAUCCUGUUUUUCAGAAUUAUACCGUGUAAAAUUCACAUUGCUUUCGAGUUAUUUUAAAUAAAAGUUAUACUUAAUUUUUUUUUCUCGAAUAUUCUACUUUCUUCACACUGAAAAAUCUGGCAUCA